rnacentral:lncRNA from 1 species
UUUCAAUUGGCAAUAACACAAAUACCUCAAUUAAAACUCAACAGUAUAUAUUGACUAUAAUUCUUCUUUUUCAUUUUUAGGCUAUAAUGGGAAGUUGGAAUAAGGUAAGAUUUACUUAAUAGUCUCCUUGUCCUUUCUAGUUUUGUUCCCCAUUAGGCCAAAUAAAAAUAUAUGUGUGGUUCCAGUUACCCUACCGUCCCUACUUUUUCGGCUUAAAAAUAGCCUACCCUAAAGAUUUUAUUGUCAUUUUUCAUUAACUC